GAUGAACGCUGGCGGCGUGCCUAAUACAUGCAAGUCGAGCGAACGGACGAGAAGCUUGCUUCUCUGAUGUUAGCGGCGGACGGGUGAGUAACACGUGGAUAACCUACCUAUAAGACUGGGAUAACUUCGGGAAACCGGAGCUAAUACCGGAUAAUAUUUUGAACCGCAUGGUUCAAAAGUGAAAGACGGUCUUGCUGUCACUUAUAGAUGGAUCCGCGCUGCAUUAGCUAGUUGGUAAGGUAACGGCUUACCAAGGCAACGAUGCAUAGCCGACCUGAGAGGGUGAUCGGCCACACGGGAACUGAGACACGGUCCAGACUCCUACGGGAGGCAGCAGUAGGGAAUCUUACGCAAUGGACGAAAGCCUGACGGAGCAACGCCGCGUGAGUGAUGAAGGUCUUCGGAUCGUAAAACUCUGUUAUUAGGGAAGAACAUAUGUGUAAGUAACUGUGCACAUCUUGACGGUACCUAAUCAGAAAGCCACGGCUAACUACGUG
rnacentral:rRNA from 1 species